rnacentral:tRNA from 1 species
GGGACGGUGGCUCAGUGGUAGAGUGCUUGCCUUGCAUGCAUGAGGUCUUGGGUUCGAUUCCUCAGUACCA